rfam:Lingula anatina scaffold51, whole genome shotgun sequence.
CCAAAGGCCCUUUUCAGGGCCAACCAAAACUCAAGAAAAGCAAUA